rnacentral:rRNA from 1 species
GUGGGGAAUCUUCCGCAAUGGACGAAAGUCUGACGGAGCAACGCCGCGUGAGUGAUGAAGGUCUUCGGAUUGUAAAGCUCUGUUAAUCGGGACGAAAGAGCCUAGUGUGAAUAAUGCUAGGAAGUGACGGUACCGGAAUAGAAAGCCACGGCUAACUACGUGCCAGCAGCCGCGGUAAUACGUAGGUGGCAAGCGUUGUCCGGAAUUAUUGGGCGUAAAGCGCGCGCAGGCGGAUCUGCCAGUCUGUCUUAAAAGUUCGGGGCUUAACCCCGUGAUGGGAUGGAAACUAAAGAUCUAGAGUAUCGGAGAGGAAAGUGGAAUUCCUAGUGUAGCGGUGAAAUGCGUAGAUAUUAGGAAGAACACCAGUGGCGAAGGCGACUUUCUGGACGAAAACUGACGCUGAGGCGCGAAAGCCAGGGGAGCGAACGGGAUUAGAUACCCGAGUAGUCC